CGAAGGGGGCGAGCGUUGUUCGGAUUUACUGGGCGUAAAGGGCGCGCAGGCGGCGGACCAAGUCAGGCGUGAAAGCCCCGGGCUCAACCUGGGAACUGCGUCUGGGACUGGUUUGCUAGAGUUCGGGAGAGGAGCGUGGAAUUCCCAGUGUAGAGGUGAAAUUCGUAGAUAUUGGGAAGAACACCGGUGGCGAAGGCGGCGCUCUGGACCGAGACUGACGCUGAGGCGCGAAAGCGUGGGGAGCAAACAGGAUUAGAUACCCUGGUAGUCCACGCUGUAAACGAUGUGUGCUAGACGUUGGGGAGCCUAGCUCUUCGGUGUCGCAGCUAACGCGGUAAGCACACCGCCUGGGGAGUACGGCCGCAAGGUUA
rnacentral:rRNA from 1 species